rnacentral:rRNA from 1 species
GGAACCGAAGUAUCUGAUUCCAUGCUUCCAAGAAAAGCAUCUAGAAAGAGAAAUAGUGCCCGUACCGCAAACCGACACAGGUAGGUGAGGAGAGAAUCCUAAGGCCGGCGGAAGAAUUGCAGUUAAGGAACUAGGCAAAUUGACCCCGUAACUUCGGGAGAAGGGGUGCCUGCGAGAGCAGGCCGCAGAGAAUAGGCACAAGCAACUGUUUAACAAAAACACAGGUCUCUGCUAAAGCGAAAGCUGAUGUAUAGGGGCUGACGCCUGCCCGGUGCUGGAAGGUUAAGGGGAACACUUAGCGUAAGCGAAGGUGUGAACUUAAGCCCCAGUAAACGGCGGCCGUAACUAUAACGGUCCUAAGGUAGCGAAAUUCCUUGUCAGGUAAGUUCUGACCCGCACGAAUGGCGUAAUGACUUGUGCACUGUCUCAACUGCAAAUCCGGCGAAGUUGUAGUGCGAGUGAAGAUGCUCGCUACCCGCGAUUGGACGGAAAGACCCCGUAGAGCUUUACUGUAGCUUAGCAUUGAAUUUCGGUAUUGUCUGUACAGGAUAGG